rnacentral:rRNA from 1 species
ACUCCUACGGGAGGCAGCAGUGAGGAAUAUUGGUCAAUGGAGGAACUCUGAACCAGCCAUCCCGCGUGUAGGAAGACGGCCUUAUGGGUUGUAAACUACUUUUAUACAGGAAGAAACGUACCCUCGUGAGGGUGCCUGACGGUACUGUAGGAAUAAGCACCGGCUAACUCCGUGCCAGCAGCCGCGGUAAUACGGAGGGGUGCGAGCGUUAUCCGGAUUUAUUGGGGUUUAAAGGGUCCGUAGGCGGAUUAAUAAGUCAGUGGUGAAAUCCCAUCGCUUAACGAUGGAACUGCCAUUGAUACUGUUAGUCUUGAAUGAGGGUGCAGUGGUUGGAAUGUGUAGUGUAGCGGUGAAAUGCAUAGAUAUUACACAGAACACCGAUUGCGAAGGCAGAUCACUAACCCUAAAUUGACGCUGAGGGACGAAAGCGUGGGGAGCGAACAGGAUUAGAUACCCUGGUAGCACAGAG